GGGACGUUAGCUCAGCUGGUAGAGCAGCGGACUUUUAAUCCGUUGGUCACAAGUUCGAAUCUUGUACGUCCUACCA
rnacentral:tRNA from 3 species